CUGGCUCAGGAUGAACGCUGGCGGCGUGCCUAACACAUGCAAGUCGAGCGAUUCUCUUCGGAGAAGAGCGGCGGACGGGUGAGUAACGCGUGGGUAACCUGCCUCAUACACAUGGAUAACAUACCGAAAGGUAUGCUAAUACAGGAUGAUAUAAGAGAUUCACAUGGAUUUCUUAUCAAAGCUCCGGCGGUAUGAGAUGGACCCGCGUCUGAUUAGCUAGUUGGUAAGGUAACGGCUUACCAAGGCGACGAUCAGUAGCCGACCUGAGAGGGUGAUCGGCCACAUUGGAACUGAGACACGGUCCAAACUCCUACGGGAGGCAGCAGUGGGGAAUAUUGCACAAUGGGCGAAAGCCUGAUGCCAGCAACGCCGCGUGAGUGAUGAAGGCCUUCGGGUCGUAAAACUCUGUCCUCAAGGAAGAUAAUGACGGUACUUGAGGAGGAAGCCCCGGCUAACUACGUGCCAGCCGCAGC
rnacentral:rRNA from 1 species